rnacentral:rRNA from 1 species
GAUGAACGCUAGCUACAGGCUUAACACAUGCAAGUCGAGGGGAAACGAUAUUGGAAGCUUGCUUCCGAUAGGCGUCGACCGGCGCACGGGUGAGUAACGCGUAUCCAACCUGCCCAUCACUUGGGAAUAACCUUGCGAAAGUAAGACUAAUGCCCAAUGACAUUGACUGAAGGCAUCCGAACUGAAUUAAAGAGUUACUGGUGAUGGAUGGGGAUGCGUCUGAUUAGCGUGUUGGCGGGGUAACGGCCCACCCAGGCGACGAUCAGUAGGGGUUCUGAGAGGAAGGUCCCCCACAUUGAGACUGAGACACGGUCCAAACUCCUACGGGAGGCAGCAGUGAGGAAUAUUGGUCAAUGGGCGAGAGCCUGAACCAGCCAAGUAGCGUGCAGGAUGACGGCCCUAUGGGUUGUAAGCUGCUUUUAUAAGGGAAUAAAGUGAGUCACGUGUGACUUUUUGCAUGUACCUUAUGAAUAAGGACCGGCUAAUUCCGUGCCAGCCGCCGCCGUAA